AACGAACGCUGGCGGCAUGCCUAACACAUGCCAGUCGAACGAGACCUUCGGGUCUAGUGGCGCACGGGUGCGUAACGCGUGGGAACCUGCCCUUAGGUUCGGAAGAACUCCCCGAAAGGGGUGCUAAUACCGGAUAAUGUCCUCGGACCAAAGAUUUAUCGCCUUUGGAUGGGCCCGCGUUGGAUUAGCUAGUUGGUAGGGUAAAAGCCUACCAAGGCGACGAUCCAUAGCUGGUCUGAGAGGAUGAUCAGCCACACUGGCACUGAGACACGGCCCAGACUCCUACGGGAGGCGGGAGUGGGGAAUAUUGGACAAUGGGCGAAAGCCUGAUCCAGCAAUGCCGCGUGAGUGAUGAAGGCCUUAGGGUUGUAAAGCUAUUUUACCCGGGAUGAUAAUGACAGUACCGGGAGAAUAAGCUCCGGCUAACUCCGUG
rnacentral:rRNA from 1 species